AACGCGAAGAACCUUACCUAGACUUGACAUCUCCUGAAUUACUCUGUAAUGGAGGAAGCCGCUUCGGCGGCAGGAAGACAGGUGGUGCAUGGUUGUCGUCAGCUCGUGUCGUGAGAUGUUGGGUUAAGUCCCGCAACGAGCGCAACCCUUAUUGUUAGUUGCUACCAUUUAGUUGAGCACUCUAGUGAGACUGCCCGGGUUAACCGGGAGGAAGGUGGGGAUGACGUCAAAUCAUCAUGCCCCUUAUGUCUAGGGCUACACACGUGCUACAAUGGCUGGUACAGAGAGAUGCGAUACCGCGAGGUGGAGCCAAACUUCAAAACCAGUCUCAGUUCGGAUUGUAGGCUGAAACUCGCCUACAUGAAGCUGGAGUUGCUAGUAAUCGCGAAUCAGAAUGUCGCGGUGAAUACGUUCCCGGGCCUUGUACACACCG
rnacentral:rRNA from 1 species